UUAUGUGAUGAUGCCAGCUAUGAAACGGGUACAAUUCUAAAUAGAAUUUUGAAACAGAUAUUGAAAGAGAUGACACUAUCAAGAGUUCUGUGGUAACUAAAGUUAAAGGAGUUGCACACGUCAAUGCAGCAGAUAUAGAUUUCUGGGGAACAGAGGAUGUUUUCCCCAACCCGAUCAGCUUCCUGUUCCACUGAUGCUGCAGAACAGAAGUGAAGAACACUUUACUGAGUGCAUGGAGUUCAUUUGAACAUCAUUUUGUUCGGAACGGCAAGGAAAUGUACUAUUAUUCCUGCGAUUGUCAACAUAGCCUCUGCUCUGACUAUAAUGGCUGCUGUAAGUAUGUAAAUAUCAUCCAUUUCAGUGUAUAUAAUGAGUUUGUUUUUAAUUUAAGGGUUCUUACUUCAGUGAAAUUAUGGUACUGAACACGAUGAAGAAGAGGGCUGUUAACACAGAUGAGUUAAUAUUUGAUUUUAGACAUUAAACUGAUUCAAUGGAUGAAUCAUAUAUGACUAUUUUUUUCUCUCUUGAAUUUUCUGUUGUUGUUGUUGAGAAAUGUGAUUUAAUAAUUAAUUUUCUGCUGUAUGAUAAUAGGGCUUUCAU